rnacentral:rRNA from 1 species
CCUACGGGAGGCAGCAGUGGGGAAUUUUGGACAAUGGGCGAAAGCCUGAUCCAGCAAUGCCGCGUGCAGGAAGAAGGCCUUCGGGUUGUAAACUGCUUUUGUACGGAACGAAACGGUCUGCUUUAAUACAGUGGGCUAAUGACGGUACCGUAAGAAUAAGCACCGGCUAACUACGUGCCAGCAGCCGCGGUAAUACGUAGGGUGCGAGCGUUAAUCGGAAUUACUGGGCGUAAAGCGUGCGCAGGCGGUUAUAUAAGACAGUUGUGAAAUCCCCGGGCUCAACCUGGGAAUUGCAUCUGUGACUGUAUAGCUAGAGUACGGUAGAGGGGGAUGGAAUUCCGCGUGUAGCAGUGAAAUGCGUAGAUAUGCGGAGGAACACCGAUGGCGAAGGCGAAUCCCCUCGGACCUGUACUGACGCUCAUGCACGAAAGCGUGGGGAGCAAACAGGAUUAGAUACCCUGGUAGUCCACGCCCUAAACGAAUGUCAACUGGUUGUUGGGUGCAUUAGUACUCAGUAACGAAGCUAACGCGUGAAGUUGACCGCCUGGGGAGUACGGCCGCGAAGGUUGAAACGUCAAAGGAAAGUUGACGGCUGAGACGNGCGACGACGACGACGAGGAGGAGG